rnacentral:rRNA from 1 species
UUGUCCUACGAGAGGCAGCAGUGGGGGAUAUUGCACAAUGGGCGAAAGCCUGAUGGAGCAACGCCGCGUGGGUGAAGAAGGUCUUCGGAUCGUAAAACCCUGUUGUUAGAGAAGAAAGUGCGUGAGAGUAACUGUUCACGUUUCGACGGUAUCUAACCAGAAAGCCACGGCUAACUACGUGCCAGCAGCCGCGGUAAUACGUAGGUGGCAAGCGUUAUCCGGAUUUAUUGGGCGUAAAGGGAACGCAGGCGGUCUUUUAAGUCUGAUGUGAAAGCCUUCGGCUUAACCGGAGUAGUGCAUUGGAA